AUCUUGGCGAGAAGUCCCCGACUCUACACGGUCACAGAACAAGUUGAAGGGACAGCGCCGGAGGUCACAGUUUGCAGAGCCCAUUUCUCAAUCUUUUAUUAGGGGAAGAGCCAACUGUGCUCCCAGCGGGGUUUCUUCCAACUACGUCAGAACGCCUGUGACGCAGAGGCCAUCACCACACGCAGCUGGCAGUCCGGAAGGUGGGGCACAGCGGGGCUUGUCACUGGCUGAUAAGGUGACGUGGGCCAUGUCCCAUCACCCUGCGGCACACUUUCCAGCCGAGGCCAUCGGCUCAGGAGAGGGCCCGACGCCACCGACACCACAGCUCCUGUCCCGGCAGGGACCCGACCUCCUGCUGCCCCACCCACCGUGCUCCCCGCUGAGCCCGGAGCUGUCUCUCCAUAAACCCAGCUCUGCUCCCUGUUGACAAAGACACAUCCGCAAUAGCUCUUCAUGCUCCAAAGCCAGGAGCCGGGAGCCAGCAGCCAGCGCCAGGGGCCUGCUGCUGGGACAGCAAGGGAGCAGGCUCGCGGCCCUCAGGCGCCUUCCUCAUUCUGCCAUUAAGCCACCAAACUUCCCGCUGUGAGAAUAAACAAGUCACCUUUUCUGUCAAAGAACAGUUUGGCUGCCGCCAUGUUGGGCUGAGUGACUUGGCAGCCGCUAUGUUGACCGUGUGACCUGCAGCUCCCUGGGGGCCACCAUCUUGAAAUGGCAAAGGCCCACCCCUCCCUUUGAAUUAGCCAAUCAUGAAAGACUGUGCGCCUGAGCUCCAAUCAGGAGUGAGGGACAGGUCACGUGCAUCAGAUUAAAAAGCUGAGCGACACCCUAUUGGGUGCACAUGCUUCCAGACCAUGUGUGUGCACCCUUCCACUUGGAAGUAAAGAUAUUUGCCUGC